rnacentral:rRNA from 1 species
AUUGAACGCUGGCGGCAGGCCUAACACAUGCAAGUCGAACGAGUGGCGGACGGGUGAGUAAUGUCUGGGCAACUGCCCGAUGGAGGGGGAUAACUACUGGAAACGGUAGCUAAUACCGCAUACCAUAGCAUGAGCCCAAGUGGGAUUAGGUAGUUGGUGAGGUGAAGGCUCACCAAGCCGCCGAUCUCUAGCUGGUCUGAGAGGAUGACCAGCCACACUGGGACUGAGACACGGCGCAGACUCCUAGUGGAGGCAGCAGGGGGGAAGUGUGCGCAAUGGGGGCAAGCCUGACGCAGCCAUGCCGCGUGAAUGAAGAAGGCCUUCGGGUUGUAAAGUUCUUUCGGUAGCGAGGCGUUAACUACAGAAGAAGCACCGGCUAACUCCGUGCCAGCAGCCGCGGUAAUAC